GUGAACAUACCUCAUGUUGCCUCGGCAGGUCGCGCCUCCCUCGUAGGCCCUACCCCGUAGGCUCCUACGCGGAAGGCGCGGGUACCCCUGCCGGUGGCCCACGAAACUCUGUCUCAUCGUUGAAUUCUGAACCUAUAACUAAAUAAGUUAAAACUUUCAACAACGGAUCUCUUGGUUCUGGCAUCGAUGAAGAACGCAGCGAAAUGCGAUAAGUAAUGUGAAUUGCAGAAUUCAGUGAAUCAUCGAAUCUUUGAACGCACAUUGCGCCCAUUAGUAUUCUAGUGGGCAUGCCUGUUCGAGCGUCAUUUCAACCCUUAAGCCCUUGUUGCUUAGCGUUGGGAGCCUACGGCACCGUAGCUCCCCAAAGUCAGUGGCGGAGCCGGCUCACACUCUAGACGUAGUAAUUACUCACCUCGCCUAUAGUUGGACCGGUCCCCUGCCGUAAAACG
rnacentral:rRNA from 2 species